rnacentral:rRNA from 1 species
UACGGGGGGGGGCAAGCGUUGUUCGGAAUUACUGGGCGUAAAGGGCUCGUAGGCGGCCAACUAAGUCAGACGUGAAAUCCCUCGGCUUAACCGGGGAACUGCGUCUGAUACUGGAUGGCUUGAGUUUGGGAGAGGGAUGCGGAAUUCCAGGUGUAGCGGUGAAAUGCGUAGAUAUCUGGAGGAACACCGGUGGCGAAGGCGGCAUCCUGGACCAACACUGACGCUGAGUGAGCGAAAAGCCAGGGGGAGCAAACGGGG